UACGAAGGGGGCUAGCGUUGCUCGGAAUCACUGGGCGUAAAGCGCACGUAGGCGGCUUUCUAAGUCAGGGGUGAAAUCCUGGAGCUCAACUCCAGAACUGCCUUUGAUACUGGAGAGCUAGAGUCCGGAAGAGGUGAGUGGAACUGCGAGUGUAGAGGCGAAAUUCGUAGAUAUUCGCAAGAACACCAGUGGCGAAGGCGGCUCACUGGUCCGGUACUGACGCUGAGGUGCGAAAGCGUGGGGAGCAAACAGG
rnacentral:rRNA from 1 species